rnacentral:lncRNA from 1 species
AACUCGCCUCCUGCCCUCCGCUCUGCCCCGUAAACACUUGCUUAUUCUGUUGUGCAGGGUGGAAUUGCCGAGCUGCAGAAUGAAAGCGAGCCUGGCCCCUUCCUCAAACCUCGCGCUGAUUGAAAGACGGGAAACCACUGACAGCCAUCUCCAGCAGCUUCCUUGCCGGCGGUGCGAGUACGGGGUUUCCUCCAUUAACAGCAAUGAAAAUAAUUUGGGGAAACUGGAAUGGGCUUCUGUCCUAUGAAUUGCACCAAAUGAGGUAAGCAGAAUAAUAUGACAUUCAGUUAAUUUUUAUUUUGUAUAGCAUGAAACUGGUGCUG